rnacentral:rRNA from 1 species
GACAGGGGGUGCAACCGUUGCUCGGAAUUACUGGGCGUAAAGCGCGUGUAGGCGGUUUCGCAAGUCAGGUGUGAAAGCCCAAGGCUCAACCUUGGAAGUGCACUUGAUACUACGGAGCUUGAAUACUGAAGAGGAGAGCGGAAUUCCCGGUGUAGAGGUGAAAUUCGUAGAUAUCGGGAGGAACACCAGUGGCGAAGGCGGCUCUCUGGGCAGAUACUGACGCUGAGACGCGAAAGCAUGGGGAGCAAACAGG